rnacentral:tRNA from 1 species
GUGUUUUUAGUAUAUGGAGUACACUUACCUUCCAAGUAAGAAGAUUAACUAAUUAAAAAACAUA